rnacentral:rRNA from 1 species
UACAACGCACUACCUGUUCAUAGUAGUCGUUGCUGUCAACAGCACACUGCUCACCAUCAACGCAGGGGACUACAUCUUCUACACAGACUGGGCGUGGACGUCCUUCGUUGUGUUCUCGGUGUCGCAGUCGACGAUGCUUGCUGUAGGCGCAAUAUACUACAUGUUAUUCACAGGUGUUCCAGGCACCGCAACCUAUUACGCCACUAUCAUGACCAUCUACACAUGGGUGGCAAAGGGCGCAUGGUUUGCACUUGGAUACCCCUACGACUUCGUCGGGCGACAAGACGCAACAAGCACGCUGCCAUACUGAUUGGCGGUACGCUGGUUGGCCUAUCCUUCCCGCUGUUCAACAUGGUCAACCUGUUGCUUGUAAGGGACCCGCUCGAGGUGGCCUUCAAGUAUCCGAGACCGACUCUGCCCGCGUACAUGACGCCUAUAGAGCCUCAGGUAGGGAAGUUCUACAACUCGCCUGUCGCCCUGGGUUCAGGUGCCGGUGCAGUGCUAACGGUACCCAUCGCUGCGUUGGGUGCAAAACUAAACACGUGG